AAGCAAGAGCAUCUAUUGCAAAACUAAAUGGUCAUUUUGCUCUGAAGGUUGGCAAAAACAGCUGGAACUGGCGAUUCUCUGUGCCUAUCGAAUAAAUUAUUUUCUCUUAUGAUGAUGGUGUCGAACAAGUCAUAACAUC